GGUUGAUUCGAUUCCAUUUUAUACAAGUAUAUGAAGCAAAGGAACAAUGGACGAUAUGAAGCAGCAACGGAAGGAAGAGGUGAACCUACAUAUCAGCUCUUGGAAUUGCAUCGGCAUCAACAUCCAUGUGUUCAAGGAGUUGAUAUCUGCAUGGAACCUCGGCCCUGGAGAUCGAUUGGUACGAGGAGCAGGUGUUGGUCGCCAUUGCGACACUUGUGCUGGUCGGGCAAUCUGGCACUGUUGGCAUAUACCCAGUAUAUUGAUGUGUCCUCCAAAUAUUGAUGCUUUCCUGGUUGGGAGUACCAUUCGGAGAUGAAGGUGCCAGUUUAUUCAACCAUAUAACAGAAGUAUGUUUGGCAUUUAGCCUUUUUUUUGUUACUUGAUAGAGUGUGGUUACCUACGUAUUGGUAAUCUAUUUUUUAAAACAAGCUUAUAGAAUGGAAGAUAUGAAUAUCUAUGUGUCGCAGUUUACUGAACCCAUUGAAAUUCUACGCUUGCCUAAAGAAGAAUUACAAAACAAUAGAAAUUCCAUCACAUAUGAGGAUAUGUUGCAACUACAGAUUUUAAAACAAAAUGCAGCUGACCAUAUGAAAAUAGGAAAGUUUGCUUUAGUUAAAAAAAAAUUAUUGCUAAUGUUGAAUAUGAUAUCAUAGUCUAAAGUUGGUUGGAUAAAAUCAUGAUUGAGCCUCACGAUUUUGCCAGGAACGCCAUUAUUUGUAACUCACUUUUAUAUGGUACCACUUCCAGAUUGAUAGUAGGGCUUGG